rnacentral:lncRNA from 1 species
CUCAGACUGCUGUGCUAGCAAUCAGCGAGACUCCGUGGGCGUAGGACCCUCCGAGCCAGAGAUGGGAUCUUACUACAUUGCCCAGGCUGAAGUGCAGUGGCUAUUAACAGCUGUAAUCAUAAUGCAUUGCAGCUUUGAAUUCCUGGGCUUGAGCGACCUCCCCACCUUAGCCUCCUGAGUAGCUGAGACUACAGGAAAUAAACUUAAGGAGAAAGAAGAAACAAAGAUGGGGCGGAAAUGUAAGAGAGGCAUUCUAAUAUAUGCAUUCUUCAUAACAACUGUGUGAAACAUAUUAAUAUCCUCAUUGUUAACGAUGAAGAAACUAAAUCUCAGGAAGAAAAACUAAGUGAAGACAAAAGAAGGAUUUGAACUGAGGUUUGUCAGACUCUCGGGACCAUGCUGUUGAAACCACUAAACCACGCUGCCUCUGGGUCACUUGAUUAUUCUGGGAGAUUCUGGGAGUCUUUUCUCCAACACUCCAGUGGCAUCUGACUAUGUGAGCUGAUAAGAUCUAUAGAUCUCCCCAGCAGUUGUUGAAAAGCAAGAGCAGGAACCGAGAGAAAGCCCCUUCUUUUAGUCGAAAACUCUUACUCUGCUUAGGAAAACCAUGAACCCAAACAGUGUGGGUCAGCCUUUCAAUAUGCAAAACGGACGAAGGCUGAAGCAAUCACAUGCCAUGCACAACUGUCAAACGGCAAGAAUGAAUGAUGGAUGGAAAGAAUGGGAAUGUGUACGUUAUCUUGCUCCACUUUGGACAGUCAUGAUCAUGGAAGAUAGAAGAGGGAUUUCUUAACAUUGGUCAGAGAAGAGGGUAUCAGUUAGCUGGAAGUGCUACUCUGAAAAACUGAUGGCCCUUUGCAGGUGUGACCCUGAGCUCUGCUGGAUUUCUUGUGAAGAAAACUCCAAGGAAUGGAUGAAUGCCUGGAAACUUACUGCUGGAAGUCAUAAGGCAAUGACAAGAAAA